AUACUUACCUGGCAGGGGAGAUAUCAUGAUCAUGAGGGUGGUUUUCCCAGGAUGAGGCUUAUCCAUUGCACUCCAGAUAUGCGGACCCUUGCAAUUUCCCCAAAGGUGGAAAACUCAACUGCAUAAUUUGUGGUAGUGGAGGACUGUCUUCAUGCUCUCCUCUG